GAUGAACGCUGGCGGCGUGCCCAAUACAUGCAAGUCGAGCGAACGGACGAGAAGCUUGCUUCUCUGAUGUUAGCGGCGGACGGGUGAGUAACACGUGGAUAACCUACCUAUAAGACUGGGAUAACUUCGGGAAACCGGAGCUAAUACCGGAUGAUAUUUUGAACCGCAUGGUUCAAAAGUGAAAGACGGUCUUGCUGUCACUUAUAGAUGGAUCCGCGCUGCAUUAGCUAGUUGGUAAGGUAACGGCUUACCAAGGCAACGAUGCAUAGCCGACCUGAGAGGGUGAUCGGCCACACUGGAACUGAGACACGGUCCAGACUCCUACGGGAGGCAGCAGUAGGGAAUCUUCCGCAAUGGGCGAAAGCCUGACGGAGCAACGCCGCGUGAGUGAUGAAGGUCCUCGGAUCGUAAAACUCUGUUAUUAGGGAAGAACAUAUGUGUAAGUAACUGUGCACAUCUUGACGGUACCUAAUCAGAAAGCCACGGCUAACUACGUG
rnacentral:rRNA from 1 species